CCGAGUUUACAACUCCCAAACCCCUGUGAACUAUACCUUUAACGUUGCCUCGGCGGCGUCUCCCCCUCGGGGGCGGCCCGCCAGAGGACCCAACAAACUCUUGCAUUUUGAAUCGAGUAUUUCUCUGAGUGAAAAAAGUUAAUAAAUUA
rnacentral:misc_RNA from 1 species